GACGAACGCUGGCGGCGUGCCUAAUACAUGCAAGUAGAACGCUGAAGCUUGGUGCUUGCACCGAGCGGAUGAGUUGCGAACGGGUGAGUAACGCGUAGGUAACCUGCCUGGUAGCGGGGGAUAACUAUUGGAAACGAUAGCUAAUACCGCAUAAGAGUAGAUGUUGCAUGACAUUUGCUUAAAAGGUGCAAUUGCAUCACUACCAGAUGGACCUGCGUUGUAUUAGCUAGUUGGUGAGGUAACGGCUCACCAAGGCAACGAUACAUAGCCGACCUGAGAGGGUGAUCGGCCCCACUGGGACUGGGACACGGCCCAGACUCCUACGGGAGGCAGCCGUAGGGAAUCUUCGGCAAUGGACGGAAGUCUGACCGAGCAACGCCGCGUGAGUGAAGAAGGUUUUCGGAUCGUAAAGCUCUGUUGUAAGAGAAGAACGAGUGUGAGAGUGGAAAGUUCACACUGUGACGGUAUCUUACCAGAAAGGGACGGCUAACUACGUG
rnacentral:rRNA from 1 species